AUUGAACGCUAGCGGGAUGCCUUACACAUGCAAGUCGAACGGAGUGGCGAACGGGUGAGUAAUGUAUCGGAACGUGCCCAGUAGCGGGGGAUAACUACGCGAAAGCGUAGCUAAUACCGCAUACUAUUGGAUCAGCCGAUGUCGGAUUAGCUAGUUGGUGGGGUAACGGCUCACCAAGGCGACGAUCCGUAGCUGGUUUGAGAGGAUGACCAGCCACACUGGGACUGAGACACGGCCCAGACUCCUACGGGAGGCAGCAGUGGGGAAUAUUGGACAAUGGGGGAAAGCCUGAUCCAGCCAUGCCGCGGGUGCGAAGAAGGCCUUCGGGUUGUAAAGCACUUUUGGCAGGGAAGCGGUACCUACAGAAUAAGCACCGGCUAACUACGUGCCAGCAGCCGCGGUAAUAC
rnacentral:rRNA from 1 species